rnacentral:lncRNA from 1 species
GGAUGUUAAAUAAAUCAAAUUCAGUAACAAAGUGUACUAAAUUUGAUGGGAUGUGAAAUAAUUAGUAUGUGGUACGAGGUGAGGUAGAGUUAGUGGCGUGAGGUGAGAUAGAAGAAGACCUUAAAAUAUUUUAAUUGAGACUAAAAAUAAAAAUUUUAAUAUUCUUAAUUUAACUAACCCGAAGAUGUUUUACGUGCCUCCAUGGUAGCAAAAAAUAUCGAUAUGGUCGGCCCCAAAUACUUGAGACUUGUAGCUUUAUUAUUAUAGUUAUUUUUCAGCAUUUUUAAAUUCGAUUGCCAUAUGACUAAAUUCAUCUUUCCUUUAGAUGUCACAAAAUUCCCUUUCAAACUUGUGGACACAUGAAAACAACCAAGUCGACCAGACUCAAGGACGUUGAAGAAACUAUCUUUGAGAAAAUAAUGAAUCUUAAAAUGCCUUUCUCAAUACUGACAGUGAUUACAGCAUCUAUCAAUAUUUUUAAUUUUGAGUACCAGACCUAUACUGGUCCUAACCUAGACUGGUAUGGGUCCGAGCCGUACCAGCACAUUGCGUCGGUAAGUCAGAAUGUACUGAAUUUUGAAAAAACCUAAAAAAAGGUUGAACGAUAGAAAAGUUACCAGUACAGGACUUGUACCACAUGGUACAGGCCUUAUACCAGACGUACCAGGUGGCUCAAGCCCUAUAUCGGAAGCCUAGUACACGUGCCCAUAGUGUUGAACUGAUAAGCACCACCAGUACCAAACUAUAAGGAUGGUAUUACAAAGUACAAACCUUGGCAUACAUCCAAUCCACAGAGAGAAAGAGAGAGAGAGAGUACUAAAAGGGUCACCUAGUUCGCAGAGCUCCCGCCAAUGAAGCUCUAAGAAUGGUGAAUAAACGCAACCUUACCACAACAAGCAAAAUGUUAUGACCCUUUUUUAUCAAACACCAUGGAUGACUUUAUUUGUCGUAUAGCACAUAAUUUGUAAGAUUUUUUGGACACUCCCAUUAGAGCAUAACAUGAAAAUGAUUAUACAUACUUGUGCUUCCAUAAUAUUAUGAAAUAUCAAGUAAUUAAUGAAUUAACAUUUUGUAAAACAUAGCAUUUUGACUGCCUACUUAAAUAAAAUGAAAGAGAUGCUCACUAAACAAAAAUUGGUUGGGUACCUUUUCUUUAGCCCAGCCAAAAGCGAAAUUGUAUAUUUCACGAAAUUUUUCUGGAGGCAUGAAACACAAAAUUUAUUAGAAAAGCUUGAAGAAACGAACAUAAGGCAUGUGUUUCAGUUUUGUUUAUAACAGUGUAUAAAACUUCAAAAUAACUUGAAUAAACAUAUGCCAAGUAGCUUCCAAAAUAGAGAAUGGGACAGAUAACACUCACGUUCAUCUUUUAGCUCACUUCGCAUAUAUGAUAACUUAUCACGAAACUUCUCAAUUGUAUCUAUCCUGCAUCAAAACAUUUUACUUUCAACACAAACAAAUUGUAUCUUCAUAUGUCAAAACUCCUCCAACCUACUCAGAAGAUGAAAGAAUAAGCAACUCAGUGAGGCCAAAUAUUACCCAAGAUAUUGUAAUCCACCAAUGAAUUCCUGCCGAGAGAACUCACACAUUGUAGCAGCCUUCAUGUGCCAAGAUACAACUAACUGUCGUAAAAGAAACCAAAAGCACACAGCACCUUAUAAUUAGUGUACUGUAAGUGCUUCAGUAAAUCACCAAAGCAAACACAAUGUAAAGUAGAAACUUAGCUGAUCAGAAAAUAGCAGUAGUCUUUAAAUUAUUUAACCACAGUAAACAAAUAAGAAAGCAGCAAGAUAGGAGAAAGUAAGAUAAUGGAAUAAGAAAGAAGAAAAGACCAGAUACACAGAAGUAGGAUUGCAAAAAAACAGAGAAUUCCAGUCCAAAAUCCAAUAAUCCAUUAUGAUCUUGUGAGUCAUUUGAAUCACUAUUCUUCAUCCCACUAAGAAUUCUGAAAAAUACUGGCGUAGCACCAGGAUUCAGAUUUUCCCAUAAUGCCCUUCAGCACUUUAUUGAACAUUCAUUUAUCUCAGAAUAGGAGCCCUAAAUAACAUAAAAUUUCAAGUCAUGCUUGAGCACAAUGAUUGUGUAAGAUCCCAUCAAAUGCUAUGUUUCUCUCUUCUGUUCUGUACCAUAUUUGUUCAACGCAUGAAUCUUGCCUGAAGGUGUCAGGGUGCCUAACCUUGUUAGCCAAGGAAUGUCAUUUCAGGUACUGGACCUGUCUCAGUCCCCUGGGUCAGUCCAGUAUCCAUCAGUCGGGGCCAAUGUACCAACACAUUUCGAGGAGGAAGAAGAAGAAGAGAAAGGAACAUAUGGCGGUGGAGGAAGAGCAAGACGAAGAGGAGGAAGGAGAAGAAAGAAGAAAAAGGAAGAAUAGGAGGCAGUGGAGGAAGGAGGAGGAGAAGAAAAGGAAGCUCCUCAUUUUUUAUCUGAUCCCAAGUUUGAUUGUGGAACUCUUAUAAGUAUGGCAUAAAACAAGAAAAUUGAAUGUUAGUGAUGUAUGACACAUGACAGAAAGGGGUAAAAGGAUAUUAUAGGAUUUAAUUCGGUUCAUGGUCAAUUUUCAAGGUCGCUGAAAUCUUUAAAUCAUAUUUGAUUUUUAUGAAAGGACAAAUAUAAACUAGGACUAGUAUAAAGGAAGAAGAAAUUUUAGAUGAUCCAUAUACAUACUCACUUUGACUUUGAGAAUCACUCAUAGGAUUAAAAACAAUGGUAACACACCAUUAUGAAGAAAUUUCUUCUAUUGAUCUAAACUCCAAUUGCUUCACCACUUCAUUUGCUUAUAACCUUUUACCCUUCAAAUAGAUCCUCAAUUACAAGCAGAAAAAAGAAAAACAAAAGAACUAAAAAAAGAGUUCACUUAAGAAGAUACUAUUCCAUGAGCCAAGGCUAAUCGAUCACCCACAUUUCAUUCUCAGAAGAACUAUUUUCAAAUUUGUUCAAAAUUCCUUUUUAUACAUAUUCUUUAUUGCUAUUAAUUUCCUUCUUUGGAUAGAAUCUUCAAUUGAGAUCAUUAUUCCUUUUCUUCCAUUUUCAUUUGGCUACUCUUUCUUCCCUUGAACAAUCGUAUAAUUGAAAAUACAUAUGAUGUUGCCAUGUAACAAAUUUUGACAUUUGAAAAAAAAAUAAAACAAAAUUAAAAUUAAUAUAAAACAAAAAUGGUUCCUACACCAAAUAGUUCAUGCUGUAUGGUAAUGAAACACCUCAUGUUUUAAUUAAAAAUACCUCUUUCCUUGCAGACUAAGCAAGCAUAAGAGGAAUGCCGGAGAAGCAACAAAUUAUUCAAACAACUCAUUUUGGACCUUUCCUUUUACAAAUAUCAAGCAUUGAAUGUAAGUUCUUCAUAAGGUAAAAGAUUUAUUACAGUUUCAUGUCAAUCAUUUCAAGUUGUAGCAUGGGACUUGGACUUGCAUUGUCACUCUAGGCCCCUAGAGACUCAAGUCAUGAAACUCUUAUUUUUCACUGGCAAAGAUGUUAAUUAUCCCAAUGGAGCUUUUUGUUGUGCUAAAGUUGUUCAACAUCAUGAAUCUGGAGUCAACAUAAUGAAGGCAUGAAAACUUUGAUUAUCUGAAACCAUGUUGACAGAGCCUCCAAUUAUGAGACAAAUUUAAAAGUAAAUGAAGUAGAGGAAAAUAGAAGAAAGAUAUAAAAAGAUAGAAUAAAUGAGAAAUGAGAAUUGGAGAAAACAAAAAAAUCCAGCAUGUCAUAAAUCAUCAUUAUUAACUCAUAAUUUAUCGGUCAUGAUUUCUCUUAAGACUCAUUGUAGACAAGUAUCCUAGUCUUAGAAUAAUUCCCAACAAAUCUAAAUGACCCUAAAACUUUACAAGAAUAUCUGGAACUUCAAAUCACUUCAAGAUACCAUAAAACUCUAUUUUAAUGUUUACAAUCCAGAUGCAGGACAUCAAAGUUUUGACUGGAUCAGGUGAUACAAACACUACCAUAGCUACUUGAACAAUGACAAGAUGGAACCUAAUGAAAAGGGAAGAGAUAAUAUAAAGACCCAUAGGCACUCUAUAAACUUAGUGAAGAGACUGAAUUGAACAAGAACUUAAUAUGACUCAAACGAAACAUGUUCAACACAAGACAAGGUCACAUAUCUACCAUGAAGAACCAAAAUUGAUUAUAUUGCACCAUAAACUACUUCUUCCUUAUUAUAGUGCAAUACAGAAGAAAGUUCGCCAAAUAAAAGUUCUGCCUGCAACUGAAGAGUCUUUGACUGGUGCAGUUAGCAGCUAUCAAAUGACAGACAUAAAGUAUCUAAAAGUUCCUUAGACUAUAAACUUAAUGAAGAGACUGAAUUGAACAAGAACUUAAUAUGACUCAAACGAAACAUGUUCAACACAAGACAAGGUCACAUAUCUACCAUGAAGAACCAAAAUUGAUUAUAUUGCACCAUAAACUACUUCUUCCUUAUUAUAGUGCAAUACAGAAGAAAGUUCACCAAAUAAAAGUUCUGCCUGCAACUGAAGAGCCUUUGACUGGUGCAGUCAGCAGCUAUCAAAUGACAUACAUAAAGUAUCUAAAAGUUCCUUAGACCAAGAUUUGACAAAAGGCAACUUUUGGCUAGAUAAAGCCAUCUACUUGCAAACAUUAACAAGCCAAGCUUGACUAACAGAUUCUAUUAGGCACAGAUCAACUUGUUUAUGGCAUAAACAGAGCUGUUCACAAACAGAUCAAUUUCAAAAACCUUCCACCAUACUAAGUGCUAAAAUCAACAGUCUUUUUAACAACCAUGCUAUGACAGAAAAAAUAACAAGAAGGUAUGCCCACUUUAUCAAUUAUGCUAGCCUAGAGCAUAGAACCACAAAUGAUCCAAUAAAGUGAGAAUAUUAUCAGGAUGAACAUUCAUGAGUACCUUACAAUGUCAAAGAACAACAUAUAGUGAUAACAGUUCACCAAAAGCAUCUUUACCAAUAGAUGCUGCUACAUUAAGGCCCAAACUCAUGCUGAUAUAAUCAUGCCUACAUAGUUCAGAAUGGCACUGUACCAUGGAGUCCAAUAGAAGCAUGGCAUAUUAUAAUUUAAAAUGAAGAGGAUAACAUGCCGUACACAGAACUAUAAUCACACUCAUAAAACUCAAUUUUGUCUCGACCAAUUCAUACCGGCCCAUAUAUACAGGUCUCAGCAUGAACCAGGAAACAUACCAGCCCUUUUUUGGGCAAUUGAAUCCCUUUUUUUGGCAUGACCUGCAGCAGUGCAACUUAUGGUUUAAACAUGGCAGGCAAUCGCACGCUGCCACCUGCCUGAACUGCAGGCCCACCCACCUGCCACCUUCUAAUCCACCUUCACCUCCUAUUCUUCUCCUUUUCCUCCAUUCCUCCUCUUCCUCUCUUCCCUCCCGCUCCCCCUCCUCCCCUUUUCUUGGUACAACAGGCAGCACCAACUUACAAUAUACCAUGUGUUAAUAUGCCAACAUUGGCCAGAACAAUACUGGUCCGGUCAUAAAUUAGUAGGGAUCUGGUAACAAAACCAAAGUUACCCCACAAAAAUACCAAAAAGUAAUGCAAAGGACUUAUUCAUGUCAUAUAUGCACUCACCAUAACAAUAUCUUGAGGAUCCACCUGCAAGAACCAACAACAGGUCACUAGCUAUAAGACAAAAGAAACAACAGAACAAGAAAAUUAUACUUAAAAGAUGAAAUGAUCCUUUUGUUAUGCAAGUUAAACAAAAACAAAAAUGAACGCAAUGAAAAAUUAUAAAAAACAUAUUCCUAUUGAAAAAUUAUAACUAAACUAUUAUAUAUGAGCUAAAAGCUGACAUGUAAAUUAUGAUCAGUUUGUACAAUAGUCAACAGUUCUCCUUCAAAACUUUUUUAUUCUGCUCAAUCUGAACAAGUCCCCUUUAAAACUUAUUAAGAAAGUUGAAUAUAAUUGGUGCCCAAGGAAACAACAAUUUUUAAAAUCUUAAAACUUUGAGCUGCAUAUAUUUUCUUUAAUAAAUAACAUAGUAGUUAUAAUACAUAAACUGACUCCACUGCCAUCACUGUCAAACAUUCCAGAUUUUCCUAGCACCAUUUGUUGGCAUAACAAAACCAGUUCUGACAUAUAUAUUGGUAAUGUGCACAUAAGAGAACAAACUGUAGUGUGCCAUACGAGAAACAACUUAAACAAAUCUUACCUGCAAAUCAUUGCAAAGAAGAGUUAUACCAUCCACCAGUAUCAUAUCAACAUAAGGAUCUGCCACAAUAGAAAAUAUUUCAUUUUAUCACUCCAUGAAGCAUAAGCAUCAAUGAUGCAACAGCCAGUUGUAUUAAAUUACAUAUUUAGACAGACAACAAUAAGUGAAUGAUUUUCAUGUCAAAUUCUCAAUGAUUAUGCUGGCAAACGAUUGGUUAAAGCACAUCUACAUAAUCACUGAUUAUUCAAUUCUGAAAAAAUCUUAGAAAGAAGUUUACAUCAAUUCAGAGCAAGUAGACCAUGCAAUGAACAUAAAAAAAACAGCUCAAUGUUAUACAUUGCGAGGGCAGGAAAAAACAGGAGAGUAUUUGUGGAAAAUAAUGGACCCAUGUGCCAUUUUUGGACACCAUAAGCUCAUAUUGGGGGUCAUCUUAUGAAAUACUACCAUUGUUUCAAAAUGCAGUCUAUAUGAUCACAUAUGCAUAUGCAGUCAUAUGACUGCAUAUGCAUAUGGUAUUAUUGUAUAUGUGAAAAUUGUCUUACAUAUACGGUUUCCAUAAACAUGGAAAUGUUCUUAUGAAUAUGGUUUAUGUGCAUGUCUCAAUAACUACUAAUAUGGUCCAUAUACAUUCCCGAUACGCAUUGGAUCGGUCCAUCCUGGAAGGUAUUACAUCCAAUGAAGGAUCGACAAAAGGACCAGCUCUUGCACCACCCUCUAUGACCGACUCACCAACCCACUAGGUAUUCCUCUACUCUUGCACCACCUUCUCCACUUCUCUUUCUCCUCAUCCUUCUCCCCCACUUCUCAAUAUUGCCUCACUACCAUACCAACAUAUUGUAUGUCCGUAUGCUGAUAUGUACCAGAUUUGUGUCAGACCAACCAGCAACUUGUAUGGGUCCAAUACCAGAAAUUUUUAACCAUAGUUCAAUAAAUUUUUAACCAUACUAUAAAAGACGGUUUUUAUUUUUUUGGUUUGGACUCAACAUAUAAAUAUACCUAAUUAUGAUUUAAUAAUUCACAUUUAAAAGCACAUUUAAUACAGUACCUUGGCUGCCCUCAUUCUGCAGCCACUUUUAAUAGCAAUAAAAUUACAAUUAUACAUCUGCAUACCACACGCGAUACAAUAUCUUGAACACUGCAUUCAGCAGCAGUUUCUAGAACAGUAAAAUUACAGUUACACAACAUAAUAUACAGUACCUUCACCACUAGCAUUCUGCAGCAUGUUUUAGAACACUAAAAUUAUGGGAUUUUACCAUGUAUCAAAAAUACAAAUACCAAAUGUUUAGAGAAAAUAAAUUUUGUACAAAUUUCACAUGAAGUGAUCAUAAUACAAAAUAUCGAUAUAUCAAAAUGAAACAUGAUCAAUCAUGAUCUAUAUAGCAUCAACAAAUCAAAUAUCAAGAAGUGCCCAUUAAAGGGGUGCCAGGUAAAAAAUAGAGGUUAAAAAGUUAUCUAAAGUGGCUUUAGAUUAAACAUAGUGGUCUAGUGUAAUUUAAGUUGAGCCAGGAAAUCCAUGUUAAAUUCAUCCAGUCACUUAAAGAGCUGUUGGAUAACCCCAUUGAAGCAGUUAUAAUAGCAGCCAAAAGCCAACUAUGUCAAUCAUCAAGCGCCCAAAAGACAAUUUUCAAUUAGCUUCCUCUAUACCUUGUUGACUUACAAACCAAUCAAAAACAUAACACUUUAAAAUAGAAAAUUAAUGUACAAUAAUUUUUACAAUUAAAAAUAUUUAAUUAAAUGAAAUUAUGACCCUUUCAGGACCUGAAACACUUCUACGUGUUCUAUCUCAUGCCUAUAUUUUUUUUUGAAAAUGUUAUGAUAGAAUAUAAUCAACAUCAGCAUUUUUUUUUAAAAGAAAUUUCUACAUGCCACUAAGCGAAAUAAAAAUUAUAUGAAUCAACCAGCUGCAAAAAGAACAGAAAGAGCCUUGUAAACAGAAUGAACUUCAGAACAGUAAGAGAUGACAAUAAAUUAUCAUCUCAACAGUUUGGUAGCUUAUGUUCAAAUUUUUUUAAUCCUCAAGGCUAAAAUAAUAAAUUCAACAAUCAGAAACACUCACUUGCAUGGUCAUGCUCCAAGAAAAAUUGUGCAUUCAGGUUAUAAGAAGCUAUCACGAGCAAGAUGUGACAGUUAUGGCGACAAACAACUUAAGAUGUCUAUAAGACAGUAAAAAGGCAAGGAGACACUGCACAGAUGCUACAGAGGCAAGGUAGAUUAUAAAAUGCAUCAGUACCAACCGGUAUUGGCACCAAACCAAGAUUUUAAUCCUUGCACAAGAUAAAAGUUGGGUGCAAUAACAACAUUCCUUCCAUAAAGUGUUAUAAGUGCAACUUAAUGGCAAUAAACAGCAUGAGUCACACAAACAUCCAGCCAUUUUUUAACAAGAAACAUAGGCACAUGUUGGAAUGGACAGGGCAUAAUAAGUGCAAGAGCAUACAACAAAAAAUAAUUGCUCAAGGAAACUUGCCUUUGUAUCUGUUAUAGAGUUCUUCAAGAUGCCUGGAGUCAGUAACAGUUCUAAUAUGGGGUUGGCUAUAAAAUAUGUCAAAAGCCCCCUCUAAAUGCCAAUCACUGGCUUUCAAAGCCUGAACAGCAGCUUUCUCACUGUGAAAAUUAUAGAAUCAUGUUUAUGGAUGAUUAAAAUAUGCAUAAAAGUAAAAGAAAUGCAAAUCAUGAAAUGUGAAACUUUAAAUAAAAAGAAAGUCAUAAUUAAUCUUGACCGUUGGCAUACUUAGACCAUUAACAUACAUAGACUAUUGUCUACAUCAGAAGCACAAAAGUUAAAAUAACCAAAGAUUCAAAUCUCGAUCCAAUACCAGUCUCGAUAAACCAAUUGGACUGUUGUGAUACCAGUAUACAAGGUGGUAAAGUUGAUGGUGAUAAUCAGUUCUUAAUGUCUGAGUUAUGUUGCUAAAAGUUGGAAAAAGCAUUUAUUUAAACCUAAUGCUAGUAUGAAGACAGAGAUAAAUGAAAAUUGAUACAUGAACAAAUGUAUUAAACCUUAAACUAAAAGCACUUCCCAUCAAAGUAAGACAGGAGGCUAAGGAUCCUAUGAAAAGAAAAGAGCAUGGCUUGAGUGAAUGCAAAUAUAAGCGAUUAGACCCAUGCCGGUCCAGCCAUGGACCAGCAUGGGUCCAAUACCAAAAAUUGGAUUCCUUGUCAAAGACAAAAGUUGUUUAGGUAAACAAGGAGAAACGGUGAUUGUAUUUCCAUAGCAAACGAUAAAAAUAAGCAAUUUAAAACAGAUACUCUUCCUGAAGCAGUCAAGCAGAACACCUUUUUUGUUGAUUGGAUGACAUCAUUAAGGACCAUCACAAGAAAUGUGUAGAACUGAUGUCAUUACUAUCACCACAAGCAAUGUGUAGAACUGAUAUGUCAUUACUAUCACCACAAGCAAUGUGUACAACUGAUAUGUCAUUGCUAUCACGAAUAUUUUGCAUCUCAUUGAAAAAUACUGAUAUUGUAGCUACCAAGUCAUCUGAAUUCUAAACUGUUAUCCACUAAUUACUAUGGCAGCCUUAUCCCAGAUACUGAAAGGCUUUUUCUAUGAUACAUAUCCAUGGUAGCCCUUGUACAGAACUUGGAGAAAAUGUUUCAUGUUUUAGUAAGUGGUAUACCUCGAUCCCGUUAUUGCCAUGAACUGCUGAACUUUGUCUCGAUGUCCUCUUCCCAAUUUAUGCUGUUAAAGAUCAAAAUUAACAUACUUAACUUGAUAACCAUUAAGAACUAAUCCGAAUGUAAUACAGAAUCAUUUGAAAAUUUCACAGACAAGAAAGGCAACGACACAAUAUAAAUCUUCAGGCCUUUUGGAGGUGACAAACUAGCAACGUCAAAUUCCAUGAUCCACCAAAGUUAUGGAAUCUAUAUCCAGAAGGCAAAAGGAGCAAUAUACAGAUAAGUAUAUGAUUUCUGUAACCCUCUUUUCUGAUUUCAUGAAAUCGUUUUACCUUUUUUCAACUAUAUAGAAACCUAUAGACAUAAAUUUAUUGAAAAUGUUAAUACUUCACUUUCCCUUCUUUAAGGCUAAUGAAUCGUCUCGAUGAAAAUCUCACACACUUUCUCUACCUAAACUGUCCUAAUUAUUUAAUAAUAUAAGCUCCAAUUAUCAGCCAAAAUUAAAAUUUUCGAACAUGUCGCCAAAAAUAUAUCUUGAUCAUUACUGCUUUAAGAAAUAAAAAGGCAGAGACAAAAGGAGGAGGAAAACCAGUCCUGAGCUUAAAGAAAAAGGAAAAAAAAGCAGGAUUAGUAAUCGAAAGCCAUAACUAAGAAUCGAAUUCCACACCGAUGAAUGAAACGACAUGAGCACUAACCAUUUUUAUAUCACCGAGCAAACCCUAAUUCGUCUCUCGUUUUUCCUUAUUGAGAAGGGAUCGACGGAAAGGGCGAUUUCGAAGAGAGGAAAAUUAGGAUUUUGGUAGCCUCUUUUUCAGAUUUCUUUCUCUUCUCCUCUCUCGUCGUCGCCUUUUCUUUCCCCCUUCCCUUCUCCUUUCACCUUUUCGCAC